ACCGCGAUAACUCAGCUGGUAGAGCAUUUGCCUGGUAUGCGGAGGGUCGCCGGUUCGAUUCCGGCUCGCGGCG
rnacentral:tRNA from 1 species